GGAAGAGUUAGUGCUGCAAGGGGUUCUGGGUAUUUUUUUCUGUUGUGUUUAUGUUGUGUUACGGUGCGGAUGUUCUCCCGAAAUGUGUUUGUCAUUCUUGUUUGGUGUGGUAGUUCAUACGGCCACCCUCAGUGUGAACUGCAUGGCUGUUGAUCAAGUACGCGUUGCAUUCACUUAUGUGUGUGUUAAAGCUGCAUAUAUUAUAUGAAUGGGCCUGUACGUGUCACGGCGCGGAUUCGAACCCGUGUCUCUCAUAAUUCUGAGUGUCACAAUUCCUCUUCUGGCUGCUCGCUCGGACACGCCCCCGCUCACGCUGGGCAGCGACAAGGCUGCCGGCAAUCACUCAUCAUCACACCUGGGCUUGACGAGAGGGAGCGGCAUAAAGAGACAGCGAAGCCAGGAGACCUUUGCCAGAACGUAGCCAAUCUCACCUGAUGUUUUCCGCGAUCGUGUCUUGCCUCACGACCUCCUCCCGGAUUGUUGCUUGCCUUCCCCGAUCCUUGACCACUGUUUGGACCCUGACAUCGUUGCCUCUCUCCAGCCCCCGACUGCUUGCCUUCCUGCUGACUACCCCUUCGCCUUCCCCUUUGGAUUCGACGAAAGAUACAUCCAACACGCACCGACAACACCCUCUGGUAAAUUCUACAUUGUUAAUUCCACACAUAGUCUGCAUUCACUCACUAGUGGUAGCAUACACUUCCCACACAUUCAUCAAAGGUUUAAAUAAACCUUCAAAAACGCAGUUCUGCCUUGGUGUCGCCUCCUUCCCUUUGUCUAGUACACAACAGUACGUUCUGGCCAAAAACAU